GCCAAAUAGGAGAGGGGUGUGUGCGCGGUCCUAGGGCACCAGCCGGAGCUGAGAGCUUGCGGAGGGCGCACAGGCCUCAUCUUGAGCGGUCGGAGGUCUUCCGGAGCCCUCUGCGUUCCUUUUCAUUCACACACCCCGGCCUCAGGGGUUAGGCGUCCCGGCAACAGCCUAUGAGCCGGUGCCGGGAGUGUGGAGGUGGACGUAGCUCACUGGCACGUUGCCAGAGAAGAGCCAAAGCUUCUUUCCCAGCCACCGGAGAGCACGAAGAAGUCAAAGAGAUUCAGAGUGUAAAAGAGAUUCUACAGGAGGAAAGGUCUCCAUUGCUGAAAUGAAGAGGGCUACAGCAAAUAAACUAGGGACCUCAGUCCUACAACAGCAAGGAACUGGAUUCUGCAAACAGCCUGAUAGAGCUUGGAAGCAAAUUCUUCCCCAGAGCCUUCAGAUAAGCCCACAUCCUCUGACUGACAUCUUGGUUUCUGCCUUGUGAGACCCUAAACAGAGGACCCAGUUGAGCCCACCUGGACUUCUGAUCUACAUAACUGUGAGAUAAUAAGUGGGUGUUGUUUUAAGCCA